AUUGAACGCUGGCGGCAUGCUUUACACAUGCAAGUCGAACGGUAACAGGUUAAGCUGACGAGUGGCGAACGGGUGAGUAAUGCAUCGGAACGUGCCCGAUCGUGGGGGAUAACGCAGCGAAAGCUGCGCUAAUACCGCAUACGAUCUGAGGAUGAAAGCGGGGGACCGUAAGGCCUCGCGCGAUCGGAGCGGCCGAUGUCAGAUUAGGUAGUUGGUGGGGUAAAGGCCCACCAAGCCGACGACCUGUAGCUGGUCUGAGAGGACGACCAGCCACACUGGGACUGGGACACGGCCCAGACUCCUACGGGAGGCAGCAGUGGGGAAUUUUGGACAAUGGGCGAAAGCCUGAUCCAGCAAUGCCGCGUGCAGGAAGAAGGCCUUCGGGUUGUAAACUGCUUUUGUACGGAGCGAAAAGGUCCUUUCUAAUACAAGGGGCUCAUGACGGUACCGUAAGAAUAAGCACCGGCUAACUACGUGCCAGCCGCCGCCGUAAUAC
rnacentral:rRNA from 1 species